rnacentral:rRNA from 1 species
AUGGCGGGAGCCCACAAGUUCAUCUUCCCCAACUUCCUCUCGCUUUUCUUCCAUGGUGGCUGUGGGGCCGCAUUGCCACCACCGCACCCCUCUGACGUCCUUGUCCACAAGCGGGCGCCACCCUCGGCUCGGCUCACCGACGCAACCGCGCUGGUCGUCGACGUCGACGGCGGCUUGCUCCUCUCCUCGGGCUCCCUCUUCCCCUACUUCAUGCUGGUCGCCAUCGAGGCCGGCGGCUUGCUCAGGGGCCUCCUCCUGCUCCUCCUCUACCCUUUCAUCGCCUGCAUCGGCGGCGACGUGGCCAUCAGGGCUAUGGCCUUCGUCGCCUUCUGCGGGCUCCGCGCCACGAGGUUCCGCGCUGGCCGCGCCGUGUUGCCGCGGUGGCUCCUGGAGAACGUCGGUCUCGAGGCGUUCGACGCCGUGCGGCGGCGGUGGUCCUCUGGCGCUGCCGGUAGGAGGGCGGCGGUGGUGUGGGCCAGCAGGAUGCCGAGGGUGAUGGUGGAGCCGUUCUUGAAAGAUUACCUGGAGGCCGACGUGGCCGAUGUCGUCGCGGCGAGGGAGAUGAAGGUGCUGUGGGGGCUCUAUACCGGCCUCAUGGAGGAAGGAGGCGGCGAGGCGGCGUCCGAGGCAAGGAAGAAGAUCAUGGAGGGCGCCUUCGGCGAUGAUGUCGUGGGCUUCUCCGGAGGAUCCAUGGAAUUUCUUUGCAACAACACUCUGUCUUCCUCGUGCAAGGAGGUGUACGUGGUGAGCGCCGAGGAGAAGAGCAAGUGGCGGCCAUUGCCGCGGGACGAGUACCCGAGGCCGCUCGUCUUCCACGACGGCCGCCUCGCCUUCCUUCCGACGCCGCUCGCUACCGUCGCCAUGCUCGUGUGGCUCCCAUUGGGCGCCGCUCUCGCCGUGGCCCGCAUCGCCGUCGCGAUGACGCUCCCAUACAAGUACGCCACGCCGAUCCUCUCCGCCACGGGCCAGUCGUGGCGCCUCCGCGGCUCGCUGCCGCCGCCGCCGUCGUCGCGCGGGCAGCUCUACGUGUGCAACCACCGGACGCUCAUCGACCCCGUGUACGUGUCCAUCGCGCUGGACCGCCCCGUGCGCGCCGUGUCCUACAGCCUGAGCCGGCUCUCGGAGCUCAUCUCCCCCAUCGGCCGCACCGUGCACCUCGCCAGGGACCGCGCCCACGACGGCGCCGCCAUGGCGCGCCUCCUGGCCGGGGGAGCGCACGUCGUGGUCUGCCCCGAGGGCACCACCUGCCGCGAGCCGUACCUGCUCCGCUUCAGCCCGCUGUUCGCCGAGCUCAGCGGCGACGGCGUCGUGCCCGUGGCGCUCGCCGUCGAGACGGCCAUGUUCCAUGGCACCACGGCAGGCGGCUGGAAGUCCAUGGACGCGCUCUACUACCUGGCCAACCCAAGGAUGUGCUACACCGUGGAGUUCCUCGGCAGGGUCGACACGUCGCCCGUCAGGGACGGCGGCGCCGCGAGCACGGACGUGGCCAACCGCGUGCAGCGCCUGAUGGCGGCGUCGCUCGGGUACGAGUGCACCAUGCUCACCAGGAAGGACAAGUAUCUCAUGCUCGCCGGCAACGACGGCGUGGUGCGCGCAAAGGGGGCAGCGUGCCAGUGGCCGUGA